GACGUAGGGCGCGAGCGUUGUCCGGAUUUAUUGGGCGUAAAGAGCUCGUAGGCGGCUUGUCGCGUCGAAUGUGAAAACUCGGGGCUCAACCCCGCGCUUGCAUUCGAUACGGGCAGGCUCGAGUUCGGUAGGGGAGACUGGAAUUCCUGGUGUAGCGGUGGAAUGCGCAGAGUAUCAGGAGGAACACCGGUGCGAAGGCGGUUCUCUGGGCCUACCUGACGCUGAGGUAGCGAAAGCGUGGGGAGCAAACAGG
rnacentral:rRNA from 1 species